AAAUAGACCAUCUAUUUGGUAGGAUUUUCUGCCAUCCAACUACUAGUCACUCUCUUAUUGCUAUAGUCAUUAGAGAAAGGUUCCUUUUUUUAUAGUUAUAAAAUCAUCAUUGUCGACCAUCAAAUUGGCGGUAAAGAAAAAGAUAAGUUCCUCAAGUGGAGAGUCCUCUUCCAAGAGGGCGAGAAAUGAUCAGCUUUAGCUUUCUGCUUCUGGUCGAGUCCCAUCUCCCCCCAAGGCAUCGGAUGGGUCAGCGAGGCUCAGGAGGAAAACUCUUCUGCUUGUAAGUAGGGUGGAGCUCACCAGGACUACAAUGGAAGUUCUCAUUGAGGCCAGGCUCUGAUGCAUUAAGGAGUACAAAGUCUUGAUGGACUUUGAGAAAGAGCUUGUCAAGCAUCAUCAGCCGUAUUCAUCUAGGACUUCGAGAACUAUAAGGUGUGCCUGAAGGAGAUGGUCUCGAAGCUGGAUUUGAGGUGCCUCCACCCAAGCAACAAUGAUGAGA
rnacentral:lncRNA from 1 species